AUACGGAGGGUGCAAGCGUUACUCGGAAUCACUGGGCGUAAAGCGCGCGCAGGCGGCUGUUUAAGUUGGAUGUGAAAGCCUACGGCUCAACCGUAGAACUGCAUCCAAAACUAUUUAGCUAGAGUGUGGGAGAGGAAGAUGGAAUUAGUUGUGUAGGGGUAAAAUCCGUAGAGAUAACUAGGAAUACCAAAAGCGAAGGCAAUCUUCUGGAACACUACUGACGCUGAGGCGCGAAAGCGUGGGGAGCAAACAGGAUUAGAAACCCCAGUAGUCC
rnacentral:rRNA from 1 species